rnacentral:rRNA from 1 species
AUUGAACGCUGGCGGCAGGCCUAAUACAUGCAAGUCGAACGGUGUAGCAAUACACAGUGGCGCACGGGUGCGUAACACGUAUGCAACCUACCUAUCAUUGGGGGAUAGCCUUUGGAAACGGAGAUUAAUACCGCAUAAGACAGUAACAUGGCAUCAUGUAGCUGUUAAAGCUUCGGCGAUGAUAGAUGGGCAUGCGUCCAAUUAGUUAGUUGGUGAGGUAACGGCGCACCAAGACGAUGAUUGGUAGGGGAUCUGAGAGGAUAAUCCCCCACACUGGCACUGAGAUACGGGCCAGACUCCUACGGGAGGCAGCAGUAGGGAAUAUUGGGCAAUGGACGGAAGUCUGACCCAGCCAUGCCGCGUGCAGGAUGAAGGCGUUAUGCGUUGUAAACUGCUUUUUUAUAGGAAGAAGGAGACCUUGCGAGGUUUGGUGACGGUACUAUAAGAAUAAGCACCGGCUAACUCCGUGCCAGCCGCCGCUGUAAGAC